ensembl:lncRNA
GAGGAGGAGUGAGGCGGCGCGAGGCGGCGCGAGGCGGGCGGAGCCUCGGGUGUGCUCGGACGUCAUAUUACUGCUCCGCGGGAAGGAAAAGGCCUGUUAAUCAGCAGAUUGUUAAUGAAGGCCCGAGUUCAAAGACACCGGGAGAGAGGGGGCUACGAGGCCCCGAGCGGUGGGAUGGGGAGGAGUCCUGGACCGACUGUCUGUUUGUCAAAACACGUCCACCCGUCUGUCUCUUUGCCCGUCUUCUCCUCUGAUGAUGCCAGCAGAGAUGGGAAGUGCGUGCCGGCGUGCGCGUGGGCGUGCGAGUGCGCGCAUGUCCUCGCGUCUGUGGGACAAAGCGAAGAGUCCUCGGAGGCACAGUCGGGAGAGAACACACGCAGUCUGACUCUCACUGUGUGUGCGUGUUUUUUGUGUCUAUUUAUGCCUGUGUGUGUGUGUGUGUGAGGGCGACUUUGUUGGAGCGUGCCAGAGUGCUGAAAGUGACGAGAAGGCCCAGUGGGAGAAGAUCCUUGCUCUGCUGACUGCGUGUGCAGAAACAGGCCGUGGAGCCGUGCCAUCGGCGAGCGGACACCUACAGCAACAUGUUUAGGAAUUAAAACAAAUAAAAAAAAAACACCCAAAAAAAACAAACGGCGCCAGCUAAGAGAGGAGCCGGAGUUACGUGGUGAGAUCAAAUGAAAAGAAGGAGGAGGAUGAGACGAGCGAACACUUAUUUGAGAGUUUACAUUUGCAUUGACACAAAAGGUCUGCCUGAAAAUUGUACUUCGCAGGCUCUCUGUGUGUAUUUGUAUUGUCCGUAACUAUGGAAACCUGCUAACAAGACGAG